GGGCCCGUAGCUCAGCCCGGUUAGAGCAGUGGACUCAUAAUCCGUUGGUCGCAGGUUCAAGUCCUGCCGGGCCCACCA
rnacentral:tRNA from 1 species